GAUGAACGCUGGCGGCGUGCCUAAUACAUGCAAGUCGAGCGAACGGACGAGAAGCUUGCUUUUCUGAUGUUAGCGGCGGACGGGUGAGUAACACGUGGAUAACCUACCUAUAAGACUGGGAUAACUUCGGGAAACCGGAGCUAAUACCGGAUAAUAUUUUGAACCGCAUGGUUCAAAAGUGAAAGACGGUCUUGCUGUCACUUAUAGAUGGAUCCGCGCUGCAUUAGCUAGUUGGUAAGGUAACGGCUUACCAAGGCAACGAUGCAUAGCCGACCUGAGAGGGUGAUCGGCCACACUGGAACUGAGACACGGUCCUGACUCCUACGGGAGGCAGCAGUAGGGAAUCUUCCGCAAAGGGCGAAAGCCUGACGGAGCAACGCCGCGUGAGUGAUGAAGGUCUUCGGAUCGUAAAACUCUGUUAUUAGGGAAGAACAUAUGUGUAAGUAACUGUGCACAUCUUGACGGUACCUAAUCAGAAAGCCACGGCUAACUACGUG
rnacentral:rRNA from 1 species